AUAGAAAAAGAAAAAAAGAAUCAGCCCCUUCUCUCUCUAGACUCUACUCUCUCUCUCUCAAAAACUUCGCCGGCGACCGCUGCCUCUCCGUCCGACCAACGACAGCGGCAAUAACGCCGUCGUUACCGUCUCUCUCCUCUCGAAACCAACGUCCUGUCCCAACAAAUCAGAGAGAACCUCCGUCGCCGGCGAAAUAGUCCGCCUUCCUCCGUUCGCCGGCGAAACAGUCACCAUCCGGCGAAGACGCCGCCGUCGUUUCAACCAUAACGACGACGGUCGGCCCACCCACGCCGACGCCAGAGAUGGCGCCACACCGCUCCUCCGUCACCGCCUAGAUCUGCCGCCGCCGGCACCAAAUAAAACCCCCAUCGCCGCCGGAGAAGAAAGCAAAACCAGAUGCUGCUCUGCCGCCAGCAGUCGCUGCUCCGGUUGCGGCGCAUCGACCACUGGCUCUAGCCGCAGGUCACCGAAGCUUGAUCUGCGUCUGGGUUUUGGGUUCCUGUUGUUUGAUUGGGGGUUUUGGUUUCGUCUAAUUCCUGGUUUGUCGUCAAAAUUGGAUUUCGAGUUGUCGUUAUCAAUCGCGUCGUCGUUAUUGUUUGGGUUUCGUAUAACAAAGUUUGUUUCACUGAUUUUGAAGUUGUCCUAUUAGUUUUCCCUAUACUGAGUUGGAUUCAUUGCGAUCGAGGUUCUCCGGUCGAGUAUUUUGGUCUUCGGAUUUCUUUAUUAUCGUCAAGAAUCAAUUUCAUCGAGGUCCAUUUCUUCUAACCGAAUCUUUAAUUUAUUUGACUUUUCAUGAUGUUGUGGGUGUGGAUGAUUUAUUUGUUGCCUGUUUGGUAUGUUCGAAUAUGUGUUAUGUGUUGGUUGAUGUUGGUUUCGGAACUUUGAAAAGUGAAUUGAUAAAUCGAAGCAUGUUUAAUCAUAUUGUUUGAAAUAAAUUUGGUGACGGGAAUCAAAAAUUGAUAAAAGUAAAUAUCUUGAUAUUUUUGAUGCAUUGUUGAUGUUGAAUGCGGUACGUUGUCGAGCGGGUAGGCAAAUAGUAAGCUCUGGGUAGGCAAGUUUAGGAUUGGUGCAGUGUUGGAAUGAUUGGAAUACUUGUUGAAUGUCUUGUUUAUCGUAUUUGGAAAGUGUAUUUAUUUAAUCGGGGAAUGCCCCGAGGUAAUUUGUAUUUACUCAUCGGGGAAUGCCCAGAGGAAUCUUGUAUGCAAAGGAUGCUCGUGAUCAAGACCCGAGGCAUCGGGUAAAGCAUAGUUAGGACUAGUGUAGGUUAUUUCAGUAUUUUUAUUUCGGGUUGUAAUAAUUGGAUUGGACUUUAUAUUUUUGUUUUGUCUUUGUUAUUGUUUAAUUAUUUUGCGUGCUUUUUGUGUAGUGUAUGCAUUCGUAACGUCAAUUUAGCCGAUACGCUCUACUAAGCGACCGUGGUUGAACCCGAUACGCUCUACUAAGCGACCGUGGUUGAACCAUGGGAUCGAGGGAUGUCUAACACCUUCCCCUCGGUCAACAGAAUUUCUUAGCCGGAAUCUCUGUUCGCAAAUCAGUUUAAGAGUCAAAUGGUUUUGAAAAGGAUUUUCCAAAGGUGACUUGGCACACCGAAUUAUGCCAAGUGGCGACUCUGAAUAAAAAAAAUGUAAAAAAUCUUUUUCCGAAAUAAAUUUUCAUUUCUUGUCACUUAAAUAGUAAAGCCCUUUUGAACUUUAAAAUAUACAUUUUUUGGAGUACGUAAAAAGGGGUGUGACAAUUGGGUUGGGUCGAGUUUAUUUAUUUGAUGAAUUUUAAAAAGAAAUUAUACACGUGGAUGCUGAUGUGGAAUGUAUAAUUGACUUUUUUUAUCUAGGUGACGUCUUUGGUGAACUUCUGUUAGAAGGGUAUUUUUGAACCAAAUAUUUAAUAGAGGAGUAUUUUUUAGCCAAAAAACUAACGAGGGGUAUUUUUGAUCCAUUUCAGGUAAUUCAGGAAUAUUUUGGAUCCUUUUCCUUUUAAAAAAUUAUAUAAAAUAAGGUUCAAUUAACUUGCAC
rnacentral:lncRNA from 1 species